GGCGUGUUCGUCUAUCGGUUAGGACGCUGGAUUCUCAAUCCGGAAGGACGGGUUCGAUUCCCGUACGCGCUACCA
rnacentral:tRNA from 1 species